UAGCCAGAGAGUAGUGGUACCCACGCUUGCGGGCUCAUAAGAUGCCCCACUAACAGUAAUAAUGCAAAUUUUAUAUUUGUGUGUUUUGUUUUACACGAUUUUGUUCCUUCGCUGUGGAAGUCAUUCGUAAAAAUUUGUUAAGUACAUAUUUCGUAGGAAAAAUUAGUACCCGCCUGCGGGAUUCCAACACCAGCAUAGUCGCAUCGACCGACACGAAUGCACCGGGAUCUUAUCCUUUAGGCCACGACGACUUCAGAUUUGGUAGUAUUACGAGUAUCAACACCACGCAAACAGUCUUAAGAGUAUCUGGAAAUUGGAGGAAGUUUAACGAGGAAGUUAAACUACUAGAAUUAAUGGCAGAAAGUAUUAGUAGCUUCAAGAUUAAGGAUAAUCAGAUUCUUUGAUUAAGAAAUUUACAGCAAAGGUAAUUUCCUCCUCCUUGCAUCGUAUUCCUCAUUGCUGAGGGUCGUGACCACCCUUUUGUAUCACCUUCGCACGCACGAUUUUUCUCCAUCCAUUCUUGUCUCUGGCGGUGUGGAGGGCGUUGUGAAACGUGGAAUCAAGAGCGGUGCGGAUCUGGUCGGACCAACGUAUUGGGCUGCGCCCCCGAGGUCUUUUCCCAUCUACUUUACCAGUCACGAUGAGCCUCUCGAGAUUGCUACCAUCCUUUCGUGCGAUGUGACCAAAGUAUUCAAGGACUCUGCGAAGACACUCGUAGGUAAUUUAAAUGAUAGGAUAAUUACUACUAGAAAUUGUUAUGAACUAAUUCUAAGAAUACGUCGUUUGCAUAUUUAAAUAUUAACGAAAGAUCAACAGCGUUAUUAAAUGGAACAGUACAUUCGGUUUCAAUUUCAGGGGCGGGCGUUCAAAAGCGUUUUGUUUUUAGAUUGUCACUUUGUAUUUGUACCUUGUAAUAGGGAAAGCACGACGUUGGAAUAUAUAAUUUACUAUUAACGGUAUUUUCGGAAAACGAAGAAAGGAUCGCUGAAUCGGAAAGAAUUUAAAUAUUAACGAAAGAUCAACAGCGUUAUUAAAUGGAACAGUACAUUCGGUUUCAAUUUCAGGGGCGGGCGUUCAAAAGCGUUUUGUUUUUAGAUUGUCACUUUGUAUUUGUACCUUGUAAUAGGGAAAGCACGACGUUGGAAUAUAUAAUUUACUAUUAACGGUAUUUUCGGAAAACGAAGAAAGGAUCGCUGAAUCGGAACGACAAUUAUGGAGCACGGAAGACUGUUUUUUUUUUAAUUAUAUGCGAUGGACAUUGGAAGGAUUCCUGUUAUCUAACAAAAAGGUUCUAUCGUUGGAAUUUUAAUGUUUGCAAUUAAUAAAACAUUGUUAAAAUAA